rnacentral:antisense_RNA from 1 species
UUUUGCAUUGGCUUUGCGUGCCAUAAUGCUGUUGCCGACAGCAUGUAAAAGGUGGGUUUUACCUAAACCGGUGCCGCCAUA